GGGGCAGUUCUCCGAAAGGACAGCUAAGUGGAUGUCCGGUUCCACUAGCUGGGGCGCGAUGGUCCCUGUGUUUCACAGGACGCCUACCGCUGAUCGAGCUUGCUUUCUAUCCUACCCUUGCUUUUUGCGCACCCAUUGUUUCCUCGGCAGGCUUGCCUGCCAGUAGGACCCUCUUAAACCCUUUGUAAUUGCAAUCAGCGUCCGAAACAACGUAAUCGUUACAACUUUCAACAACGGAUCUCUUGGUUCUGGCAUCGAUGAAGAACGCAGCGAAAUGCGAUAAGUAGUGUGAAUUGCAGAAUUCAGUGAAUCAUCGAAUCUUUGGACGCACAUUGCGCCCCUUGGUAUUCCAUGGGGCAUGCCUGUUCGAGCGUCAUUUGUACCCUCCAGCCCUGCUGGGUGUUGGGCGUUUGUUCCGCUGCGCGCGUGAACUCGCCUCAAAUGCAUUGGCAGCCCGCCGUCCCGUGUGGGAGCGCAGCACAUUUUGCGCUCUCCGCUGCUGACGGUGGCAUCCACAAGUCUACAUUUUUACGCUUGACCUCGGAUCAGGUAGGGAUACCCGCUGAACUUAAGCAUAUCAAU
rnacentral:rRNA from 1 species